AGAGUUUGAUCCUGGCUCAGGAUGAACGCUGGCGGCGUGCCUAAUACAUGCAAGUCGAGCGAACGGACGAGAAGCUUGCUUCUCUGAUGUUAGCGGCGGACGGGUGAGUAACACGUGGAUAACCUACCUAUAAGACUGGGAUAACUUCGGGAAACCGGAGCUAAUACCGGAUAAUAUUUUGAACCGCAUGGUUCAAAAGUGAAAGACGGUCUUGCUGUCACUUAUAGAUGGAUCCGCGCUGCAUUAGCUAGUUGGUAAGGUAACGGCUUACCAAGGCAACGAUGCAUAGCCGACCUGAGAGGGUGAUCGGCCACACUGGAACUGAGACACGGUCCAGACUCCUACGGGAGGCAGCAGUAGGGAAUCUUCCGCAAUGGGCGAAAGCCUGACGGAGCAACGCCGCGUGAGUGAUGAAGGUCUUCGGAUCGUAAAACUCUGUUAUUAGGGAAGAACAUAUGUGUAAGUAACUGUGCACAUCUUGACGGUACCUAAUCAGAAAGCCACGGCUAACUACGUGCCAGCAGCCGCGGUAAUACGUAGGUGGCAAGCGUUAUCCGGAAUUAUUGGGCGUAAAGCGCGCGUAGGCGGUUUUUUAAGUCUGAUGUGAAAGCCCACGGCUCAACCGUGGAGGGUCAUUGGAAACUGGAAAACUUGAGUGCAGAAGAGGAAAGUGGAAUUCCAUGUGUAGCGGUGAAAUGCGCAGAGAUAUGGAGGAACACCAGUGGCGAAGGCGACUUUCUGGUCUGUAACUGACGCUGAUGUGCGAAAGCGUGGGGAUCAAACAGGAUUAGAUACCCUGGUAGUCCACGCCGUAAACGAUGAGUGCUAAGUGUUAGGGGGUUUCCGCCCCUUAGUGCUGCAGCUAACGCAUUAAG
rnacentral:rRNA from 1 species